rnacentral:rRNA from 1 species
UACGAACCGUCCAAACGUUAUUCGGAAUCACUGGGCUUAAAGGGUGCGUAGGCUGCGCUGUAAGUUGGGUGUGAAAGCCCUCGGCUUAACCGAGGAAUUGCGCUCAAUACUGCUGUGCUUGAGGGAGAUAGAGGUGAGCGGAACUUAGGGUGGAGCGGUGAAAUGCGUUGAUAUCCUAAGGAACACCUGGGGCGAAAGCGGCUCACUGGAUCUUUUCUGACGCUGAUGCACGAAAGCUAGGGUAGCGAAC